GGGGAAUUUUCCGCAAUGGGCGCAAGCCUGACGGAGCAAGACCGCGUGCGGGAAGAAGGCUUUCGGGCUGUAAACCGCUUUCAGCAGGAACGAAAAUGACGGUACCUGCAGAAGAAGGAGCGGCCAACUAUGUGCCAGCAGCCGCGGUGAUACAUAGGCUUCAAGCGUUGUCCGGAUUUAUUGGGCGUAAAGCGUCCGUAGGGGGUUG
rnacentral:rRNA from 1 species